GUGAAAGAGAAAGUCCUGCCCAGCGUGCUUCACAAUGAGGCCCACAGCAGCUGGGAUCUUUCAGUGCAACAUCAAAAAUCAGGUGUAGAGCUUUAACUAGACAAUGUUGCGUGACCAGGAUCCAUGUAUCUAUAAAUCGGACAAAUUCGUCUCAUU